rnacentral:rRNA from 1 species
CAGUCGCCGCGGGAAUACAGAGGGGGCGAGCGUUAAUCGGAUUUACUGGGCGUAAAGCGUGCGUAGGCGGCUUUUUAAGUCGGAUGUGAAAUCCCUGAGCUUAACUUAGGAAUUGCAUUCGAUACUGGGAAGCUAGAGUAUGGGAGAGGAUGGUAGAAUUCCAGGUGUAGCGGUGAAAUGCGUAGAGAUCUGGAGGAAUACCAAUGGCGAAGGCAGCCAUCUGGCCUAAUACUGACGCUGAGGUACGAAAGCAUGGGGAGCAAACAGGAUUAGAUACCCGUGUAGUCCCUGUCUCUUAUAC